AGCUUCUUUACAGUGCUGCCUUGUUGCAUUGAUGUCAAGCAGCAUUGUACAGGGCUAUGA
rnacentral:pre_miRNA from 2 species